rnacentral:rRNA from 1 species
AGAGUUUGAUCCUGGCUCAGGAUGAACGCUGGCGGCGUGCCUAAUACAUGCAAGUCGAGCGAACAGACGAGGAGCUUGCUCCUUUGACGUUAGCGGCGGACGGGUGAGUAACACGUGGAUAACCUACCUAUAAGACUGGGAUAACUUCGGGAAACCGGAGCUAACACCGGAUAAUAUUUUGAACCGCAUGGUUCAAAAGUGAAAGACGGUCUUGCUGUCACUUAUAGAUGGAUCCGCGCUGCAUUAGCUAGUUGGUAAGGUAACGGCUUACCAAGGCAACGAUGCAUAGCCGACCUGAGAGGGUGAUCGGCCACACUGGAACUGAGACACGGUCCAGACUCCUACGGGAGGCAGCAGAAG